UACGAAGGGGGCUAGCGUUGCUCGGAAUCACUGGGCGUAAAGGGUGCGUAGGCGGGUAUUUAAGUCAGGGGUGAAAUCCGUGGAGCUCAACUCCAGAACUGCCUUUGAUACUGAGUAUCUUGAGUACGGGAGAGGUGAGUGGAACUGCGAGUGUAGAGGUGAAAUUCGUAGAUAUUCGCAAGAACACCAGUGGCGAAGGCGGCUCACUGGCCCGUUACUGACGCUGAGGCACGAAAGCGUGGGGAGCAAACAGGG
rnacentral:rRNA from 1 species